CCUACGGGCGGCAGCAGUGAGGAAUAUUGGUCAAUGGACGAGAGUCUGAACCAGCCAAGUAGCGUGAAGGAUGACUGCCCUAUGGGUUGUAAACUUCUUUUAUAUGGGAGUAAAACAGGGUAUGCAUACCCUCUCGUAUGUACCAUAUGAAUAAGGAUCGGCUAACUCCGUGCCAGCAGCCGCGGUAAUACGGAGGAUCCGAGCGUUAUCCGGAUUUAUUGGGUUUAAAGGGAGCGUAGGUGGAGUGUUAAGGCAGUUGGGAAAGUUUGCGGCUCAACCGUAAAAUUGCAGUUGAAACUGGCAGUCUUGAGUACAGUAGAGGUGGGCGGAAUUCGUGGUGUAGCGGUGAAAUGCUUAGAUAUCACGAAGAACUCCGAUUGCGAAGGCAGCUCACUGGACUGCAACUGACACUGAUGCUCGAAAGUGUGGGUAUCAAACAGGAUUAGAUACCCGGGUAGUC
rnacentral:rRNA from 1 species